rnacentral:rRNA from 1 species
UGGGGAAUCUUGGACAAUGGGGGCAACCCUGAUCCAGCCAUGCCGCGUGAGUGAUGAAGGCCUUAGGGUCGUAAAGCUCUUUCGCCUGUGAAGAUAAUGACGGUAGCAGGUAAAGAAACCCCGGCUAACUCCGUGCCAGCAGCCGCGGUAAUACGGAGGGGGUUAGCGUUGUUCGGAAUUACUGGGCGUAAAGCGCACGUAGGCGGACCAGAAAGUUGGGGGUGAAAUCCCGGGGGCUCAACCCCGGAACUGCCUCCAAAACUAUUGGUCUAGAGUUCGAGAGAGGUGAGUGGAAUUCCAAGUGUAGAGGUGAAAUUCGUAGAUAUUUGGAGGAACACCAGUGGCGAAGGCGGCUCACUGGCUCGAUACUGACGCUGAGGUGCGAAAAGUGUGGGGAGCAAACAGGAUUAGAUACCCUGGGUAGUCCACACCGUAAAACGAUGAAUGCCAGUCGUCGGGUAGCAUGCUAUUCGGU